rnacentral:lncRNA from 1 species
AUGGGAGAACAGGCCAACCCCCACCUCUCUACAGCCUCCUUUAAGGUAUCUAUAGAGAGCGAUAAGGUCGUCCAUGAGCCUCCUUUUCUCCAGGCUGAACAAGCCCAGCUCCCUCAGCCGCUCCUCGUAGGACUUGUUCUCCAGGCCCCUCACCAGCUUCGUUGCCCUUCUCUGGACCCGCUCAAGCACCUCCAUGUUCUUCUUGUAGCGAGGGGCCCAAAACUGGGCACAGUACUUGAGGUGCGGCCUCACCAGAGCCGAGUUCCAGGGGAUGAUCACCUCCCUAGCCCUGCUGGUCACACUGGUUCUUAUGCAAGCCAGGAUGCUGUUGGCCUUCUUGGCCACCUGAGCACACUGCUGGCUCAUAUUCAGCUGACUAUCAACCAUCACUCCCAGAUCCUUCUCUGCCUGGCAGCUUUCCAACCACUCGUCUCCCAGCCUGUAGCUCUGCUUGGGGUUAUUGCGCCCCAGGUGCAGGACCCAGCACUUGGCCUUGUUGAACUUCAUGCAGUUGACCUCAGCCCAUCUGUGCAGCCUAUCCAGAUCCUCCUGCAGAGCCUUCCUGCCCUCGAGCAGAUCGACACACGCACCUCAGUUGGUGUCAUCUGCAAACUUACUGAGGGUGCACUCGAUGCCCUCAUCCAGAUCAUCGAUGAAGCUAUUAAAGAGGACUGGCCCCAGCACCAAGCCCUGGGGGACACCACUAGUGACCAGCCUCCAGCUGGAUUUGACUCUAUUCACCACAACUCUUUGGGCCCGGCUAUCCAGCCAGUUUCUAACCCAACGAAGCGUGCGCCAGUCCAAGCCAAGAGCAGCCAGUUUCUUGAGGAGAAUGCUGUGGGAGACGGUGUCAAAAGCCUUGCUGAAAUCAAGGUAGACCACAUCCACAGCCUUUCCCUCAUCCACCCAGCGCGUCACUUUGUCAUAGAAGGAGAUCAGGUUCGUCAAGCAGGACCUGCCUUCCAUAAACCCAUGCUGACUGGGCCUGAUCGCCUGCUUGCCCUGCAAGUGCCACGUGAUGACUCUCAAGAGGAUCUGCUCCAUGAGCUUCCCUGGUACUGA